rnacentral:rRNA from 1 species
UUACGGGAGGCAGCAGUGGGGAAUUUUGCGCAAUGGGGGAAACCCUGACGCAGCAACGCCGCGUGGAGGAUGAAGUCCUUCGGGACGUAAACUCCUUUCGAUCGGGACGAUUAUGACGGUACCGGAAGAAGAAGCCCCGGCUAACUUCGUGCCAGCAGCCGCGGUAAUACGAGGGGGGCGAGCGUUGUUCGGAAUUAUUGGGCGUAAAGGGUGCGUAGGCGGUUUGGUAAGUCUUAUGUGAAAUCUAUGGGCUCAACUCAUAGACUGCAUGAGAAACUGCCGGGCUUGAGUGUGGGAGAGGUGAGUGGAAUUCCUGGUGUAGCGGUGAAAUGCGUAGAUAUCAGGAGGAACACCUGUGGCGAAAGCGGCUCACUGGACCACAACUGACGCUGAUGCACGAAAGCUAGGGGAGCAAACAGGAUUAGAUACCCUGGU